ACGACCAUAUCACGUUGUAACAUCGGUUCCGGUAUGAUCACCUAAGUUAAGCAACGUCGAGCCUCGAAGUAGCUAGAUGGGUAACCGCUUAGGAAUAUCGGGUGCUGUAAG